rfam:Metarhizium anisopliae BRIP 53293 unplaced genomic scaffold Scaffold_10, whole genome shotgun sequence.
UUCUUCUUCUCAACCACGGAUCUGUGCCCGGCAGUCCCUUGCUUCUACGGGAGUCCAAGGUUGAUUGCUGUGCAGCUCGAUAACCCUACGGAGCCAUCAACUUGUUAUGGUGUCAAUGUCCUAUCGACAGGUCCAAGAAAGACUACCGCUGCGCUGUUCGGUUGUCGAAAGACUACCUGAGCCGCGUGGUUGCCAAAGGCUUUAUAUUCCACCCCUCUUUUCCGAGACCGUCGGUCGGUGAGGUUGAGGCAAACCAUAUCGCCUACAUUC